rnacentral:rRNA from 1 species
UACGAAGGGGGCUAGCGUUGCUCGGAAUCACUGGGCGUAAAGGGUGCGUAGGCGGGUUUUUAAGUCAGGGGUGAAAUCCUGGAGCUCAACUCCAGAACUGCCUUUGAUACUGAAGAUCUCGAGUCCGGGAGAGGUGAGUGGAACUGCGAGUGUAGAGGUGAAAUUCGUAGAUAUUCGCAAGAACACCAGUGGCGAAGGCGGCUCACUGGCCCGGUACUGACGCUGAGGCACGAAAGCAUGGGGAUCAAACAGGAGUUAGAAUACC